UCGCGAUGAGGAAAUUCAUCACACACACACUCCGAAUUUUCGUGUAGAGAAUUAUUAAGAACGGAUAUCUGAGCGC
rfam:Caenorhabditis briggsae complete genome, chrIII